rnacentral:rRNA from 1 species
UACAGGGGGUGCAAACGUUGCCCGGAAUUAUUGGGCGUAAAGCGCGCGUAGGCGGUCGCUUAAGUCGGAUGUGAAAGCCCUUGGCUUAACCGAGGAAGUGCAUCCGAAACUGAGCAGCUAGAGUACGAAAGAGGGUCGCGGAAUUCCCGGUGUAGAGGUGAAAUUCGUAGAUAUCAGGAAGAACACCUAUGGCGAAGGCAGCUCUCUGGGACGGUACUGACGCUGAGACGCGAAAGCGUGGGGAGCGAACAGG